CUUGGGUUCUGGGUCAUGACGGUACAAAAAUCACACACAAGCUGAAAAGCAGACUGUAGAAGUAGACACCCUAGAAUAUUUCUGAUCAUGCCUACAGCUAAGACCCCCCACAGAGCAGAGGUAACUGUCACUCAUUUGCAUGAGGUUUCACUUCCCACAUCAUUAAAAGCUGCUCUCUCUAUUCGCACUUGAUCAUCACAACAACCUUUAGGCACGUACCUACAUGACAAGUUGACAUUUUUAUAGCAAUUUGACACUCCUACAACAUGAUUCACAUAUUUCAAAUAUUUUCUUUUGUGAUCUUGUGCAUCUCCGGUUCUCUGGGGAUCGUCACAGUAGACCAGUCUCCUGCUGUCAUCAAUGCCCAACCCCAGGGCACUGUGAAGAUUCUUUGUCGAGCCUCGGAGGACAUUGGAAGUGACAUGUCUCUCCACCAGUUCAAACCUGGGCAAGCUCCAAAAGGUCUAAUGUACUACAGUACAAUUAGGGUUUCAGGCACCCCAGAGCGUUUCAGUGGCUCUCUGAGUGGGGCUCUGACCACCUUCACCAUCAGUGGAGUUCAGAUAGAGGAUGAGGCUGUCUAUUACUGCCAGCAGAGCGAUCAGUUCCCGCUCACACAGUGAAAUAUCACCGUACAAAAACCUCCUGCUCCUCUCUCUGCUUCACUAAUCAUUUUGCGUUCUGAUAGUUUGCAGUUUCUCAAUCAACAUUUCUUGAGCCCCAUAGAAAUAUUCGAGACAAUUUAGACCUGCACUAAAAGCUGUUUCACCAUGUUUAGCUCUGACAGUAGGUAUUACCAACAGAUUGUUCACUAGUGAUCUGAGAGGUCUAGCAGGUGUGUAUAACUGAAACAUAUAUGAGAGGUAAGUUGGUCCUGUCCCCUUCAGUAAUCUAUAAACAAGCAGUAGGGCUUUAAGGUCAAUUAUGUGACUUACUGGAGGAGAGUGAGAAGACUUGAGUAUUAGGAUUAGUAUUAAGGGUUAGUAUUAGUGGAUGGUUCUUUUCUUUUUGGUAAGAUCUCUAGCUGUUACAUUUUAUACUGGCUGAGGCUGUUUGAAGCUGUUACAAUACAUUGUUGAAUAUUAAACCAUUGUUUUCCAACCUGUUUGGCUUCUGACAUCUAACAAAAAGCAGUGUGUAGUUGGGGACACAUUUCAG